UACGUAGGUGGCGAGCGUUGUCCGGAAUUACUGGGCGUAAAGGAUGCGUAGGCGGAAUCUUAAGUCAGAUGUGAAAUCCCCGGGCUCAACCCGGGAAUAGCAUUUGAAACUGGGGUUCUAGAGUGCAGGAGAGGAAAGCGGAAUUCCUAGUGUAGCGGUGAAAUGCGUAGAUAUUAGGAAGAACACCAGUGGCGAAGGCGGCUUUCUGGACUGUAACUGACGCUGAGGCAUGAAAGCGUGGGGAGCAAACAGG
rnacentral:rRNA from 1 species